rnacentral:sRNA from 1 species
CCUCAUAUUCCUGGGAUGGAAGGUGAAGUCUUGCCAAAGAAUAUUCAGAGAGCAGCUGCUAGUUUAGUAUCCAGAGAAGAAAGCAAAAAUGAUAAUGCUGAUAAAGCAGACAGAACUACAGAACCCGAACAGUCUCAUUCCAAUACAAGCACUCUCACGGAGCGAGAACCUAGCUCAUCUAGUCUCUGUAGUAUUGAUGAAGAACAUCUCACAGACAUUGAAAUAGUUCGCAGAGUUUUUUCUUCUAAAAGGAGUAAUGUAAACUUUGUGACAGAGAUAUUUCGUCAGGUAACAUACCUCUCAGUGUUUUUAAUUUAUAAGGAAGGCUUUUAUCUUUAAUAUUAAACAUACUGAUUUUUAGCUGGGAACAGUGGUGUGUACCUUUAGUUGUAGUUGUUCAGGAGGCUGAGGUGGGAGAAUCGCUUGAGCCCAGGAGUUUGAGGCCACUUUGGACAACAUGGAGAGACCGCAUC